CCCAGGGUGGCACAGUGGUUUGAGUGUUGGACUAUGACUCUGGAGACCAGGUUUGAAUCCCCGCUCAGCUA